UUUCUGCAAGGGAAAGUUUCACUGCUGUCAGGCACUGCCCAGAGUUCAACAAAAACCAAGAGGCUUCCUAAAUAACCCCAAGAAUUGACAAAUACACUGGUGUUUUUUACACAGGAGUAAAGGAUUCCCCAUGGAAACCAGCACCAACCCAGCCAAAAGGUUCAAAUUCAGCCCUCACUGGAUCCACACCUGUGGAUUCAUGGAUCCUGCAGCCAUGGACACCCGCCACCCCACCGGUGACUAACAGGGUGACAUUAUGGCCAGAAAAGCCCACGAUGAUCUCCAGAGCCCCCCGUACCUGCCAUGCUGGCACACGCUCAGCCUCUCUGCUCCUCAGGAAAAAUACUUGGGAAAAACGUGGGAGAUUCAGCAAAGCUGGAGGAGAACGAGAGAAAAAAAAGUUGAUUGAAGUGGUCAGGGACGCCUGCAAAAGCCUUCACCUUCCCCUCGUUCCCAAACAACUCAAGGACAGCAGUUGGCUUCAAUUCUGUGACACUCUGGACUGUCACACAUCCAGGCUGGCACCUGGCUGGCAGUGUGAUAAAUCCUGGCUCCCCUGGCUCAGGCUUAUGCACCAGUAAAGGCAGAAGAUUACGAGAGGAUCCAGUGAUGUGUGGCCUCCCACUACCAACUGACCUACAUCCAGGAGAGGGCCAGCACAGGGGACUACCUGGUUGCCUGGUAGCUGCCAUCUCUGCAAGCCCAAGCCAAAAACAAGGCCAAAAAGGGAGCAGAAAAUCACAGCAGAGAAAUCAGCAGGAAAAAAAAAUAAAUCAGUGGCGAUUGUCACUAAUGAGUCACUUGAGUGCCUGGCUUAACAAUUACUCAUGUCAUUUGGCACCUCAUUCCACAGCAUGCAGGUGGGAAAGGGGGAGCUCGGCAUCCCAGGACCUUCCCUGACCAGUCCAUGCUCAGCUGUGUGCCAGAUGUGAAAAUUACGGCGAAUAAAGCCAAAAAUGAAUACCUGA